rnacentral:rRNA from 1 species
UACGUAGGGGGCAAGCGGUGUCCGGAUUUAUUGGGCGUAAAGAGCGUGUAGGCGGCCAAGCAGGUCCGCUGUGAAAACUCGAGGCUCAACCUCGAGACGUCGGUGGAAACCGUUUGGCUAGAGUCCGGAAGAGGAGAGUGGAAUUCCCGGUGUAGCGGUGAAAUGCGCAGAUAUCGGGAAGAACACCCGUGGCGAAGGCGGCUCUCUGGGACGGUACUGACGCUGAGACGCGAAAGCGUGGGGAGCGAACAGG